rnacentral:rRNA from 1 species
UACGGGGGGGGCAAGCGUUGUUCGGAAUUACUGGGCGUAAAGGGCUCGUAGGCGGCCAACUAAGUCAGACGUGAAAUCCCUCGGCUUAACCGGGGAACUGCGUCUGAUACUGGAUGGCUCGAGUUUGGGAGAGGGAUGCGGAAUUCCAGGUGUAGCGGUGAAAUGCGUAGAUAUCAGGAGGAACACCGGUGGUGUAAACGGCUUUCUGGACCAUAACUGACACUGAGGCACGAAAGCGUGGGUAGCAAACAGG